AUAUGACAGCAGCACGUUAGAUUGUGCGUCAAGAAUUCAGCAUAGCAUGUUUGUAUGAAGGUUAGAAAAAUAAAAACAAGUUUGUAUGAACGUAUGGUUAUUAAAUGGGUAAAUAGUUCAAUAGUAAUAUCCUCUAAAACACUCUGGUGACAAACAAACUUUGCCCUGUUUCCAAUUGUCCACAAGGCUGGGAGAACCUAUUCAAGUAGCUAGCUAACAGCCAUGGAGGAGGGUGAAAGGAUAACAGCCCCAACUGUCAAAGUGAGAGAGGAGGCUAUUCUGGAUAGGGCAGGUACUUUUGUGUAGUUCCUGUCCCAAGUAUGGACGGAGAUAAUAGUAACAUACUAUUACAGUGCAGUGUAAUUUGAGUAUAAUGAAGUCUGUGGUGAGGUUUUCUCUUUAGAUAAAGAGAGCUAUGAAAGCCUGUCUACAUAUGAAGAGGUCCCAAUGAAGAGCAGCGGUUCUCAGUCCUGGUCCUGGGAACUCAAAGGGGUGCACAUUUUUGUUUUUGCCUUAGCACUGCAGAGCUGAUUCAAAUGAUCAACUCGUCAUCAAGCUUCAAGUAGUAUUUAUGUAUUCAUUUGUGACUCUAUCCUUGAUAUGAUCCUGUUAUUGUCACAUGCUACACAUGCACAUACAGUUGAAGUAGGAAGUUUACAAACACUUAGGUUAGAGUCAUUAACUCGUUUUUCAACCACUCCACAAAUGUCUUGUUAAUAAACUAUAGUUCUGGCAAGUCGGUUAGGACAUCUACUUUGUGCAUGACAAGUAAUUUUUCCAACAAUUGUUUACAGACAGAUUAUUUCACUUAUAAUUCACUGUAUCACAAUUCCAGUGGGUCAAAAGUUUACAUACACUCAGUUAUGUAAACUGAACUGAAAAAGCAUGUGCGAGCAAGGAGGCUUACAAACCUGACUCAGUUACACCCGCUCUGUCAGGAGGAAUGGGCCAAAAUUCACCCACCUUAUUGUGGGGAGCUUGUGGAAGGCUUCCCGAAACGUUUGACCCAAUUUAAAGGCAAUGCUAUAAAAUACUAAUUGAGUGUCUGUAAACUUAUGACCCACUGGGAAUGUAAUGAAAGAAAUAAAAGCUGAAAGAAAUCAUUCUCUCUACUAUUAUUCUGACAUUUCACAUUCUUAAAAUGAAUUGAUGAUCCUAACUGACCUAAAACUGAAUUUUUACUAGGAUUAAAUGUCAGGAAUUGUGAAAAACUGAGUUUAAAUGUAUUUGGCUAAGGUGUAUGUAAACUUCCGACUUCAACUGUAUGUGUGUUCAUGCAUCUAUCAAUCCAAUGUUAUCAUGAUUUAUUGUAAGGGAUAUUAUACUUUAGUAAUCCACAAUGGUCUGGUGAUGUAAAAGUCUAAUAAUGACAUUAUCUUCCAUUUUCCUAGUUACCUUGUAACUGGAGAUUCCUUCAAAAUGAUUGCCUAGUUACCAUGUAGGAUACUGCACGGUUGGGUGACCAGGGCCAUCUGGGACUACCUCCUGGAGGAAUUCAGGCGUGUGAAGGCUACCUGUGUUCUGCAUAACUUCCUGAGGACGGACACAAGGACAAGGAGGGGAUCUGCAGCUCGCCGCCGUGUGCCAGAGAAGUCUGCUGCUCUGCAGGAUGUUUCAAGGAUGGGGUCCAACAACGCAGCAAGAGAAGCAAUCCGUGUGCGGGAGAUCUUCACCUCCUACUUCUUCGAAGAGGGUGCUGUUCCAUGGCAACACCAUAGACUACACUAUGCACAACCAAAGGCUUUUUUAUGAGUCAUCCACAUUGCAAUAAGAGUAUUAUUCAAUUUACUUAGCUAUGUCAACUGCAGUUAUUCAAUUCACAGUUUCUCUCCCUUUGAUUUCUACUUCUCAGGUGAGGGUGCUGUUUAGGUAAGGGUGUGAUGUCUGUACAAAAACAAAAGACUAUUUUAAGUCACCCAUAUUGAUAAAAUUUAGAACAAUUAGACACCCUAUAACCCACACCUAAACACUCAUGUAUCAAUCUGAUGGAUUGUGUUGUGCAGUAAUCAGGCUCAAGUGUAUAACUGGCUCCUUCCACCUUCAAAGAAUAGGCAAGAGGGCCAACCAUGGAGAAUAGUAAGACACUUCAUUAUUUCUAUAAUUACGCUAUAUUGUUUGUCCUUGUGUCCGUUCAUGUUUUUCAGCAUAAAGUACUCUGAAGCCACUUCGUGUGGACACCAGGUGAGACCACACAGAUUCCUGAUGAACACUCUUUAGCUACCUUAUUUUCUCAAUAACAGUCUCUCUCCUUCAAUCUUUUCAGUCUACUGAGGGGGAAUAGGUUUUGUCGUGCCCCCUUCACGGCUGUCUUGGUCUGCUUGGACAAUGUUUGUUUAUGUGGACACCAAGGAACUUGAAGCUCUCAACCUGCUCCACUACAGCCCUGUCAAUGAGAAUGGGGGUGUGCUCGGUCCUCCUUUUCCUGUAGUCCUCCUUUGUCUUGAUCACGUUGAGGGAGAGGUUGUUGUCCUUCCACCACACGGUCAGGUCUCUGACCUCCUCCCUAUAGACCACAGGUGUCAAACUCAUUCCACGGGGGGCCGAGUGUCUGCGGGUUUUCGCUCCUCCCUUAUACUCGAUUGAUGAAUUAACAUCACUAAUUAGUUAGGAACUCCCCACACCUGGUUGUCUAGGGCUUUAUUGAAAGGAAAAACCAAAAACCUGCAGACACUAGGCCCUCCGUGGAAUGAGUUUGACACCCCUGCUAUAGACUGUCUCAUCGUUGUCGGUGGUCAGGCCUACCACUGUUGUCAUCAGCACACUUAAUGAUGGUGUUGGAGUCAUGCCUGGCCAUGCAGUGAACAGGGAGUACAGGAGGUCUGAGCACGCACCCCCGAGGGGCCCCCUUGUUAAGGAUCAGCAUGGUGGAUGUGUUGUUACCUACCCUUACCAUCCAGUUGCAGAGGGAGAUGUUUAGUCCCAGGGUCCUUAGCUUGGUGAUGAGCUUUGAGGGCACUAUGGUGUUGAACACUGAGCUGUAGUCAAUGAAUAGCAUUCUCACAUAGUUGUUCCUUUUUGUCCAGGUGAGAAAGGGCAGUGUGGAGUGCAAUAGAGAUUGCGUCAUCUGUGGAUCUGUUCAUGCGGUAUGCAAAUUGGAGUAGGUCUAGGGUUUCUGAGAUAAUGGUGUUGAUGUGAGCCAUGACCAGCCUUUCAAAGCAUUUCAUGGCUACAGAUGUGAGUGCUACGGGUCGUUAGUCAUUUAGGCAGGUUAUCUUAGUGUUCUUGGGCACAGGGACUAUGGCGGUCUGCUUGAAACAUGUUGGUAUUACAGACUCGGUCAGGGAGAGGUUGAAAAUGUCAGUGAAGACACUUGCCAGUUGGAAUGCCAGUUGGUCAGCGCAUGCUCGGAGUACAUGUCCUGGUAACCCGUCUCGACCAGCGGCCUUGUGAAUGUUAACCUGUUUAAAAGUCUUACUCACAUUGGCUGCGGAGAGCGUGAUCAGUCUUCCGGAACAGCUGAUGCUCUCAUGCAUGUUUCAGUGUUACUUGCCUCGAAGCGAGCGUAGAAGUUAUUUAGCUCGUCUGGUAACUUCUUUCAAUAAAGUAUUUGUCUCUGCUGGUUAAAAUUAAGUCUCAUUUGAUAUAAUACUACACCUAUCCUGUGUUUAUCAGAUCAAUCCAGAUGAAGGAAAUUAGAUUGUUUUUUAAAUUCUAUUUCUGUAUAUAUUAAUGACAAAUCAGCCUUUAACUAGCUAAAUCCUGUUUCUAGUCUAUUAGUUACAAUGUGUAACCAUUGAUGUCUCAGUAAACUCAACAAAAAAAUAAACGUCCCUUUUUCAGGA